UCUGUUUUCUCCCUUAGUUCCUCUUAAGUCAGCUGUAGGGGUCCUUGAAGAAAGGAGCCUGGAGUCUGUGGCAAGCAAGACAUGGAUUAGGGGAAUGCAAGGUUCCUACAAACAGGAGGCAAGAAAGCAGGACAUGGAGCAAGAUGGACGACAUGCCGUGACUCGGAUUCGAACCGAGGUUGCUGCGGCCACAACGCAGAGUACUAACCACUAUACGAUCACGGCGAGCCACGCGCCCGGCGACGUAGGAUACGCGUCCGCAGGGUGCAGGCGCUGUUGGCCGAACCUCGGUCAAUUCAGUCCCGCCGGGUCCCGCGCGGCCCUCGGCGUCCGCUCCCCGCUGGGCGUCGACGCCCGGACUGAGCUGCCCGCCCCGGCAGAGCGCAGGCCGGCGCCCGGUGCGGACCGCGGAGCGGUCUCUGCUCGCCUCAGAGGCUUCAGCCCGGACUGUCGUCCCGCAGACGUGACUGGUGCCCGCUGCGUCGGGAGCCGCGCCGAGCGCACGCGCCUGGGCGUCAGCUGGACCACCCACGGUGUCAUUUUUGUCAAGGGCACUUGACAAACAGCCACUUCUGCAGGCUUUUUAAUAGAGAAAAGUACAGAUGGAGGGAAGAGUGAGAGGGAAGUAAGGGUCACCUGGUGGCCUUCAAGAAGUUAAACUUGAAAAGAGUUCUCUCCCGUCCGCAAACGCCAAGGCCACAAGAGGGGAAAGUAAUCUGAUUUUCGUUACCAGUUAUCAGGGGAGCGCGCGAACGCAGCUCCCCCACUACCACAAAUUAUGCAGUCGAGUUUCCCGCAUUUGGGGAAAUCGCAGGGGUCAGCACACCCCAAAGUGCAAUGGGUGAGCCUCGCCCUGGGAAAACCACCUUCAUGAUCAUGGUAUCUCCCCUGCCAGGUAAGUAUGCUCUCCCAACGCCCGGCCCCGGCUCACACCCGCCGCCCCUGCACUCUUAACACACGGUCACUUAGCCCCGCCCGAUCUCGGGCCUCCCUCGUAGCACACGCCGUCUCGGCGCUCCGCUGACAUCUGGCGACCCGCGUUCUCUCCCACGCCGCGCGAGAAAUCUCUCGCGUUUCCCCGGCCGCUGCGGACGCCGCAGCCCCUGCGCGACCCUCAUCUGCAUACACCCCGCCCCGUCAGCCACCCAGGAGUGACAUCACGCCCCUUCCUUUCGCCGCCCGAUCCCGGGGCCUGUUGGACUUUCUCACUUGCGCAGUGCUGGAGCGGUGAAGGACCAGGGACAAGUCACCUUGCACCGUCUCCUACCCCUAACUGGCCGCUCGUGGCCCACCCCCAGGUGCCAACAUCCUUGUGGCCGACUCUUUUGGGUAUGGACGAACGGACGCCCGUCUUCUCCAAGUCGGAGCACAGGAGUCGGGCAGCACAGGAGCCAGCCCUACCGCAGGGGUCUCCCUGCGCCUCUUGCUGCCUGCUUGCCGCGGGUCUCCGCCGCUGUACUUUAAAAGGCUCUUGAUGUAUUUACCUGUCGUUUUCUGCGUUCUCUUCUACAGAAACAUCACGAAACGGACACUGAGUUGGGACAUUGGUAUGUGGGGUCACCCAAGUCUGGGUUCCUGGUCCUGGGCACCCAAUAAGCCCUCUCUGGAGCGCCUCAGGCUGCUGCGUGUAUGUGGCGCACAUACAUCUUCUCAAUGGCCAGCAUGGCGGGGCACAGCUUUAAGCCCAGCACUUGGGAAGCAAACGCAAGUGGAUUUCUGGGAGUUUGAGGCCAGCCUGGUCUACACAGUGAGUUCCAGGAUGGCCAGGCCUGCAAAGUGACAGACCCUGUCUCAAAAUGUUCUAAAAACAGGACAAAACGAAACCGUAUUGUUAUGUGAUUUCAUCUGUAAUGUGACUCUCUCCUUAUGCCUCACACUAAAAUUCAGUAUAACACUGGGACAGUCAGGUGGAGAAAGUCAUUAACAGAGAGGCAAGUCGAUUUGUGUGGAGUUUGAGUCCAGCCUGGUCUAUAUAGUUAGUUUCAGGCUGUCCAGGAAGAAAGACGUUCAGUGGGGUUUUAAAAUACACAUAUACAGUUUUUGGUUGGUUAUAGUUCCUUUUCUCUCAUCUGCUGCUUCUCUCUCCCUCCCUACAAACAAAAACAAACAAAACAAAACACUGAUUUCUUGAGUGCGUGUGCGUGUGCGUGUGUGUGUCUCAGACUAUUACCGGUGGUCGGUGGCGUGUGUACACUAAUGCAAAAAUGCCUCCUGAGGCCAGAGGCCUGACGUCCCUUGGAGCUGGAAUUACAGGUGAUUGUGGGCUGCCUGGCGUAGGUGCUAGGAGCUGGACUUACUCUCUGAGCCAUCUCUCCAGCCCCUUGUCUUUGUUUAGAGUGUCCUGUGUUCUUGAUGUACAAAGCACAAUGCUUCUCCAACAAGGGGACCAGAGGACCGAGGCUGCCUGGCUGGCUGGGCUUCCUGGGAUUAUGGAGUGCUGCUGCUAGGAUGGUACCAGUUGGCAGCCGGGUUAUCUGGGGCCUAGCUCAGCCGUGUUUCUGUUUCAUUCUCCUGACUGCUAGGUAAAUAUUUUGAAAAGUAAAUUAAAAUCCCAUACUUGAGAGACAGAGGCGGGUGUGAGUUCAAGGCCAGCCUGGUCUACAUAGUGAGUUCCAGGACACCCAGAUGUAGAUAGUGAGACCCUGUCUGGAAAAGGUCUGGCUCAGCAGAUAAGAGCAUUGACUGCUCUUCCAGAGGUCCAGAGUUCAAUUCCCAGCAACCACAUGGUGGCUCACAACCAUCUGUAAUGGGAACUGAUGCCCCCUUCUGGUGUGUCUGAAGACAGCUAAGCUACAGUGUACUCAUUUAAAUAAAAUAAGUAAGAUGAGAAGACA
rnacentral:lncRNA from 1 species